rnacentral:rRNA from 1 species
UACAGAGGGGGCAAGCGUUGUUCGGAAUUACUGGGCGUAAAGGGCGCGUAGGCGGCCUGUUAAGUCGAACGUGAAAUCCCCGGGCUCAACCCGGGAACUGCGUCCGAUACUGGCAGGCUUGAAUUCGGGAGAGGGAUGUGGAAUUCCAGGUGUAGCGGUGAAAUGCGUAGAUAUCAGGAGGAACACCGGUGGCGAAGGCGGGUCUCUGGGCCGAAACUGACGCUGAGGAGCGAAAGCGUGGGGAGCAAACAGG